rnacentral:rRNA from 1 species
GAUGAACGCUGGCGGCGUGCCUAAUACAUGCAAGUCGAGCGAACGGACGAGAAGCUUGCUUCUCCGAUGUUAGCGGCGGACGGGUGAGUAACACGUGGAUAACCUACCUAUAAGACUGGGAUAACUUCGGGAAACCGGAGCUAAUACCGGAUAAUAUUUUGAACCGCAUGGUUCAAUAGUGAAAGACGGUCUUGCUGUCACUUAUAGAUGGAUCCGCGCUGCAUUAGCUAGUUGGUAAGGUAACGGCUUACCAAGGCAACGAUGCAUAGCCGACCUGAGAGGGUGAUCGGCCACACUGGAACUGAGACACGGUCCAGACUCCUACGGGAGGCAGCAGUAGGGAAUCUUCCGCAAUGGGCGAAAGCCUGACGGAGCAACGCCGCGUGAGUGAUGAAGGUCUUCGGAUCGUAAAACUCUGUUAUUAGGGAAGAACAUAUGUGUAAGUAACUGUGCACAUCUUGACGGUACCUAACCAGAAAGCCACGGCUAACUACGUGCCAGCAGCCGCGGUAAUACGUAGGUGGCAAGCGUUAUCCGGAAUUAUUGGGCGUAAAGCGCGCGUAGGCGGUUUUUUAAGUCUGAUGUGAAAGCCCACGGCUCAACCGUGGAGGGUCAUUGGAAACUGGAAAACUUGAGUGCAGAAGAGGAAAGUGGGAUUCCAUGUGUAGCGGUGAAAUGCGCGGAGAUAUGGAGGAACACCAGUGGCGAAGGCGACUUUCUGGUCUGUAACUGACGCUGAUGUGCGAAAGCGUGGGGAUCAAACAGGAUUAGAUACCCUGGUAGUCCACGCCGUAAACGAUGAGUGCUAAGUGUUAGGGGGUUUCCGCCCCUUAGUGCUGCAGCUAACGCAUUAAGCACUCCGCCUGGGGAGUACGACCGCAAGGUUGAAACUCAAAGGAAUUGACGGGGACCCGCACAAGCGGUGGAGCAUGUGGUUUAAUUCGAAGCAACGCGAAGAACCUUACCAAAUCUUGACAUCCUUUGACAACUCUAGAGAUAGAGCCUUCCCCUUCGGGGGACAAAGUGACAGGUGGUGCAUGGUUGUCGUCAGCUCGUGUCGUGAGAUGUUGGGUUAAGUCCCGCAACGAGCGCAACCCUUAAGCUUAGUUGCCAUCAUUAAGUUGGGCACUCUAAGUUGACUGCCGGUGACAAACCGGAGGAAGGUGGGGAUGACGUCAAAUCAUCAUGCCCCUUAUGAUUUGGGCUACACACGUGCUACAAUGGACAAUACAAAGGGCAGCGAAACCGCGAGGUCAAGCAAAUCCCAUAAAGUUGUUCUCAGUUCGGAUUGUAGUCUGCAACUCGACUACAUGAAGCUGGAAUCGCUAGUAAUCGUAGAUCAGCAUGCUACGGUGAAUACGUUCCCGGGUCU